GGAGCCGUGCCUGAAUUAAAGGGCUACUUUGAUAGAGUAACUUAUGAGGGUUAAAGUCCCUCCAGCUCCU
rnacentral:tRNA from 2 species